rnacentral:rRNA from 1 species
UGGGGAAUUUUGGACAAUGGGCGAAAGCCUGAUCCAGCAAUGCCGCGUGUGUGAAGAAGGCCUUCGGGUUGUAAAGCACUUUUGUCCGGAAAGAAAUCCUUGGCUCUAAUACAGUCGGGGGAUGACGGUACCGGAAGAAUAAGCACCGGCUAACUACGUGCCAGCAGCCGCGGUAAUACGUAGGGUGCAAGCGUUAAUCGGAAUUACUGGGCGUAAAGCGUGCGCAGGCGGUUUGCUAAGACCGAUGUGAAAUCCCCGGGCUCAACCUGGGAACUGCAUUGGUGACUGGCAGGCUAGAGUAUGGCAGAGGGGGUAGAAUUCCACGUGUAGCAGUGAAAUGCGUAGAGAUGUGGAGGAAUACCGAUGGCGAAGGCAGCCCCUGGGCCAAUACUGACGCUCAUGCACGAAAGCGUGGGGAGCAAACAGGAUUAGAUACCCUGGUAGUCCACGCCCUAAACGAUGUCAACUAGUUGUUGGGGAUUCAUUUCCUUAGUAACGUAGCUAACGCGUGAAGUUGACCGCCUGGGGAGUACGGUCGCAAGAUUAAAACUCAAAUGAA